ensembl:lncRNA
CGUUGCAGCCGAUGGCGGAACACGGGCAAACACCAACUGGCUAAAGAGGAUUCACGGUUUUCGACAAAAACAAAGACUAACGUCAACUCACAGUGAAAGAUCCUCAGCAGACGGAAUCAUGAAGUCAUCUAAAACACUCUGGUAGACUGUUGUGGUGACCUUGGAUUUAAGAAAGCAGACUUUACCAACACCUGUACCGGACAUUACACCCCAAAUCAAGACUGACUGUGGAUAUUUCACACUGGACCUCAAGCAGCUUGGGUUGUAAUCCUCACCCGUCUUCCUCCAAACCCUUGGACCUUGAUUCCCGAAUGAAAAGCACACUUUACCCGAGGAACC